rnacentral:lncRNA from 1 species
CUGCCGGUCCCAGAGGCCACGCAAACUCCGCCCAGACUCGGUGCUGUUCAACUAUUGUGCAGCAAAUGAGUGGAUGAGUUGUGUCCUGCCCCUCCUUUAGAAUGCAGCUGAAAUGACACUUUUUUGGCAGGGGACAGCAGCGCACGACUAAGAUUUCUCUCAAUCUGGGGCAUGACUUUGAAGGGAAGGUUGCUAAGCCUCCUAAAUCCCGAUACACACCAAUGCCGUUUCCCCACUCAUCUGGAAACCUGGUGGGUCCUGCCCAAACGCCUGUAUGUCAAUUCCACCUCCUGCUUGGCGACCCACCAUGCCCACAUUUUCCACUCAAGCCUUUCAGAUCUGCUUUGGGCACCUGAAGACAGAGAGAAUCAUCUUUCAAGAGUCAGAAACUUUGCACGUGCCAUUCCCUCUGCUUAGAAUGCUUUUCCCUUUCUCCCAAUUGCCUUAUCAUCAGCCUGGGAAAAUAUUUAUUUCGGCUCCUAAAAUCUCAGAUAUCACUUCUCCAGGAGCUUUCCCAGAUGCCUCACUUGAUUCCAGAAGGAGCUAUCGCCACUUUUGCCUGGCGAGUACGUUUUCACCGUUACACUUAUACGCUAUGGCAAUUUAUUGGUGAUUUGUCUGUCUCCCCUACUC